rnacentral:lncRNA from 1 species
UCAGAAAGGCAAAAGAUUUGGGUUUACGACAGAGAGUCACCUAUCCAGCAAAACAGUAUACUCUUUCAGAGGAAAAAAUGGUCAUUCAAUAAGAUAGGAGAUUUCCAAACAGUCCUGAGGAAUAAGACAGACCUUAACAAAAAAUUUGAAGGCCAAAUACAAGACACAAGAGAAGACCAGAAAGGAUUGAAGAAAAUAUUACAUUCAACUUCUUUGUCUCUGUCUCUCUCUGAGAGUUUAGAUAAGUUCAAAUGUGAACUGAAGUCAUGAAAUGAUGAGAAUUCAGAAAAAAAUGAAGAAAAUGAACAAAUUUAAGGACCCAGCUCACCAUCAAUUGGAUCAAACUUAUAUUCUUCCUUUCCUCACUACUGAUUUGCUUUGGGAAUGUAGGGAACUUAUUUAAUCCACUUGUGUCUCAAAUUCUCCGACUAAGAGAAAAAAACCCCACCAAUCAUUCUUCUUCC